GGAGGGAAUGCACAGGUGCCAUUUACUGUCUGUUAUGUGAGUCUAAAGGUACGACCACCUUCCGUCCCACGAAUAUUAGCUAGUGUUUGAGCAAAGGACCGAUACAAGUGUUGUAUCCUGUUAUGACUGCGCACCCACAUGUCUGUAAUGAGCACCCAAAACAUAUUCAUUCGCUCCUUUUCCCUCAUGACCGGAAUGCUGAAGGUCAGCCACAAGAAUAUUCGCUGAAUGUAACCCCUGUCUUCUCAGAAUGUGCACAGUUUAGAGUUAGGAUCACGUUCACAAUAAGUGAGUUUCCAAUCACCUGUUUUUAUCACAUCAUCUCGUUGCACCUUCUUCCGUUGUAAUGGUUUAAAGGCACCCAACUGCAAAAUUAGCACCACCAACUGGCACAUUAAUAUUUCUUCUGCAGAUUUUGGGGAAAUUCAGUUAAAAUUUGUGCUAAAUUUGGAUGGAAAAUUGAUUAAUGACUUUAACCGUGUCCCUCUCUCUUAAGUGAAGUCAGUAUAUCACCAAUCACAAGUUUGCCUCAAGGAGCUUUACAAUCUGUACAGUAUAUGACACCCUCUGUCAUUAGACUCGAUUCGCUCAAGGAAAAACUCUCCAAACAAAAAACCUUUAGCGGGGAAAAAAUGGAAGAAACCUCUUUGGUUCCUCAUCACUUUGUGUCCCCGAGGUGUCCUCUCUCUCCCUGCCUUUUUCCUAGCAGGCUGAAUGAAAUGUUGCCUUGGCUGGGCAGGAUGCAGGAUCCAGCGUGGCCCGGUGCUAAAUGCUCACAGCUAACUGACUCCCACUUACUUUAACCUGUGUGAAAAUCCUCCAACAGAAAUUGCUUUUGAUCAUGAGAUACUGGAGUGUUAAGAGCACCAGUGACCCCCCUCUCCAGUUCUGAUGCAGACUCGCUGGUAGGAGUGAUGUCCCCUGCUGUGGGCAGUGGCUGGGGAAAGGGCCUGGCACAGUUCACCAUCCACUGCCAGGAGGCAGCAGGUCGCGGUGUCUGCUUAACCCUCAGCCAGAGCGGGACCAGAGAAGUCAGUCAACUCUGUGCACCCCUGAGCUGCUUACAGUGCAGGCACAUCCAUACACAGUGGAGGAAAUGUUUAUUAUUUGAUAGCAAAAACACCAAAUAUUUGCUGGCUCUAUCGUCUCAACUGUGAGGUCUUUCACUGAUGGAAUAUUUGGGCUUUCAAAAGCAAUUUGAAGACGUCACUUUGGGUUAGCAUAAAAAUGCAGAUACUCAAAUACUGCUUAAAUACAUAUAAUAAAUACAGAUAAAUUGUGGUGGUAUGUGGUGUGUACAUUAUUUAUGUUUAAAUGUGCAUGUGUGAAGGUAUAAGGGGGACAUUUUGAUAAAGAAAGGAAAACAAUCUACUGGAACAGAAUAAGUAUAGGAAUGAAAGGAGAAAAUAAAUAAUCGUAGUAAUAAUGGGAGGUGGGUUCCUGAUUUGCAUCAUCAUCUUAAAGUCCGAGUGUAUAAGUAGCAUUAGAUACUUGACCAAAUGUUGGAUAUUUCAAUUUUUUUUUUUUUUUUUUUACCAAUUAUUUUAUUCUGUUGUGGAAAAAACAUCAGAUACACAAAACACAAUGAAGAUAAAAAAUAAACAAAAUUAAUAAAACUGUGCGUGCUGGUGGCCUAGCAGUUAAUAUGCCUACCAUACAUUGUGAUCUCAAUGUCCCCUGGCGACACCUAUCUAAAUAAAGCCAUAAAUGCAAAAAUAAAGAAAGAAAUUUUAAAAAUGAAAGACAGCAGCUAUAUGUGUAAAUCUAAAAAAGAAGAGCUCUAUGAAUGAACAUCUUCUCUCCGGGUUUUCCUUUUUUCAAAAUAGUAAUUUCUUCAUUUUAGAUCGACAGUGGUUAGUUUAAACAUUUAUUUUUUGCAAAAUGAGGAGCGGCCAAUGUGACAGCCCGUCUCUUGAAACGCAAUUCCACGCUACCAAAAUGCAUUGCAGGGUUUUCUACACUGACAAUGAAUGGAAAGCGUGGAAAUAACGGAUCCUGAGGACCCGUACCAUUAUUUUUAUAUAGUCUAUGGGCUACACACAGCAACCACUGUAACAUUGUCUCUCGCCUCCAUUUUUUUAUAAAGCUCAACUGAUACAUCGGCUGUCAAUUAUUACUGGAAGAUUAUUGUACCAUCACUGAUUUUGGUACUGGCGUAUACAGAGCAUUGUAACAGCUGAGUAUUUGGUGUUUCAGACUGUUACUCUGAAGAAGUUAAAGUUAUUGUUUCACUGUAUAAUAGAAAACAUCCAGUACAUUGUCUAUUGGGCAUUUUACUAAGUGUUUUUAUUUGAACCCAAAAAGUCUCAGCCAGUAUAUUGCUAUGUAUAUUUUUUAGCUCUACCAGUUGGUAUGGGCCCUAAAAAUUCAGUGUGGUUGGGCUUACUUUUUAUACUAUCAUUUAAAUGGUGGUGUACAGAAGCCAGUAUUUGCCAUGAUAAUAGCUGCACACAGUCUCUUAAAAUAGUUUGCAACCGGCACAAUAUGAUUAUAAACUGGCACGAUGUGUUAACAGACCUGAAACUGAAAUGUGCUGUGUGACUUUUUGAGAUGUAAUGAUACCAGUGUGAACUUGUGCGGACCAACCCUGUUUUCAGCCCCUUGAGCCUGUUCUCCGAAGUUUGUUGCCAAAAACUGUGCCACACUUAAGCUCCUCUUACUGCUACCUCCUCUGUUUAAAAUAAGCACUCCUAAAAUCAGACUAGAGGAAUCCAUUUUUGCUUUUGUUUCGAAAUGGUUCUGAUACAGGAAGUUCAGUAAUUAAAACUGUAUUAUUGGUGUGAAUCACAAUUUAAAAGGAGCAACACCAGUUGUUGUAGAAAAAUUUUAAAAAUGCAUAUAAUUGAACUUUGAACUACCUUGAUUUAUUAUAUGUAACUGUAAACUGGAUUAUUUUAGGUGAAUGGAAGUAAGUAACACUUACUUGGUCUUUUUAAGGCAAUCUGUUUGCAUGGUUUUAACAAGUAAAUCAGAUUGCUGUUCAAGUAAAUACAACUGAGGAAUUCUAAGUUGCAGGAAAUGUCACAUUAGUUAGCCUGACUUAAAUAAACGUGUUGUUUGAAAUACACACACAGCAUAUUUCACUUGAAAUGAUUUAGUUGUUUGAAAUAGUAAUUCUGAGUAGUCUAUACUAAGUCAAGAGUACAUCUAAAGUAAAUUAUCAAGUACUCUCCACAGGUUUUCUUUAGUUACUCAAACUAAAGUGUAAGUGUACAACACUAAAUAAGCAUUUGUUAGUACAACAUACAAUACAUAUUCAACUUUACUUAAGUCAAACAAGUUCCUUUACUUUGUUUUUUGGCUGACAUCGGCUGACAUCGGUUUGCAGGCUUUUUUAAAGUAAGGUUAACUAAUUAGAACUUCAGUGAUAGUUUUUCUGUCUGGCCGGUCCAGUGGAGGUAUGGGGUUAAGACGGAAAUGGACAUUGGGUAGGUGACAGUGGGUUUUGUUUUGUAUACUGUUGCUCCUUGAUGUAUUAGUGGGAAGGAUCUGACUACGUCUUCCACAGCUGAUUAAAGGUGCAGUUGGCUUUGUUUGUGUGUUUUGUUUGUGUGUUUAUGACAUCACGAAGGUGUUCUAGAUCUUAUGUAACGAAGUGAGAAUUAGAAUGUUCCGUCAGUUUAUAAGAGGUCAGAAACUUGCAGAACCAAGUAAUUUCAACUAAAGACAUAAAUCGGAAAACAAAACGACUGAACAGAACAUGGAGCAAUCAGAUAUCCUUGACCACAGGGACAAUCCACCUCCUAAUGAAAUCUGUCUACCAGCAAACUACAAGUUUCUGGAGAUUAUGGGGAAGGGAUGUUAUGGAGUUGUGGCAAAAUGUUUUAAAGAAGACUCCAAAGAGACUGUGGCUGUAAAAGUUUCACGGUACACCGAAAAUGCAAAGACGGAGGUGGUGAUGCUGCAAAACCUCAUGAGCCAAGGACUGGAUGAGCACAACAUUGUCCGGUUCCAUGAGUCGUUUGAAACGGACGAAGGAAAUGCUCUGGUUUUUGAGAUACUGGACAUGAGCCUGCACGAUUAUAUGAUAAAUAGAAUGGCUCCUGCUCCGUUAGAGGGCAUCAGAACAGUCAUCCAGCAGCUUGCCACUGCGCUCAAUGCCCUGAGGAACAUUGGUGUGAUCCAUACAGAUAUCAAACUGGACAAUAUCAUGUUGGUGGAUCACCGAAGACAGCCCUUUAGGGUAAAGCUUAUUGAUUUCGGCUUGGCGAUUCCCAGAUCAGAAGCCCGGCAGGGAGUUCAGUAUCAACCCUGCUAUUGCAGGUCACCAGAAAUUAUCCUGGGGGCCCCAUUCUCCGAGGCCAUCGACAUGUGGUCGCUGGGCUGUGUCAUGGCGGCCAUGCUUGGAGUUGUCCUUUUCCCUGGGCGUUGUGAAUAUGACUUGAUGCGAGACAUGGUCGACCUCUUUGGCCAACCAACAGACGACUUUCUGGAUGCUGGGCUAAAAUCAGAAAAGUUUUUUGUUAAACUUUCUGGCAGUCAGUGGAGUUUGAAGUUAUGCAAGGGGACUGGGAGCUACCAUAGGGACCACACAUUCCACUCCCUGGACGCUCUGAAAAUGAUGAAUUUGGAUAACGAGGACCACGCAGAGGUUGCUGACAGAUCGGAGUGCAUCGAGCUCUUGAAAGGAAUGCUCAAAAUGGAUCCGAGAGAGAGGAUAACCCCGAGCGAAGUCCUCAGACAUCCCUUUAUUACCAAGAGCCACCUAAACGGUAUCCCACACAGCUUUGCAGAAUUCUUCUGGUCAACAUCAUCAUCAGAAGAUAUCGUGGACUCGGCCUCUGAAGACAUUUGGAUGUCGAUAGAGGACAUUUUUGAGAGCAGUGAUAGUUCUGCUGACAUCUUUUGGUCAGCUUCAACUACAGGACAAUGCGAGGAUGUCCCGGAUCAGCGGAGGGAGUUAGACAACAGGAGCUCUGCAGAAGAGUGGAUGAUGGCCAGGGAGGAGUUUGCAGAGAGCAUUAACAGUUCUGCUGAAAUAUUCUGGUCAACGUUACCACCAGAAGGUGUUCUGGCUCAUCCCACAAACUCAGGAGCCUCGGAAGAAAACUUUAUCACAGCCAGUGAAGAAUCUUUCGAGAGCAGUAGCAGGAAUGCUGUACCUUAAGUCAUAGACUGACUCCAAAAUCUCUCACCUGUUCACUCAGUCACUAUUCUCUACAACAUAAACACCCAAAAGGUGCCUUUCUUUACUCAACAGCUCGGGUGAAAUCUUCUGGUUAACAUUUACAAGAUGACCAUCAGAAGAUGUCCUGGAUUCACAGCAGAGCAGCUCGGUCGGGGAAGCCAUUUCUGAGAGCAGCAAAAGCUCUGCUCACAUCUUCUGGUCAGAUUUAACUUCAGUACCACCAGAAGAUGUCCUGGACCAGCUGACAAAUUCAGACAACGGCAGCUCUCCAGAGGAUUGGACGACAGCCAGGGACGAUCGCGAGGAAUCGACGAUGAGGAUCCAACGUUUCCUGUCCUGGACGACGAGGAGGAGUUUAAGGUUUUGUAGCAAAACAACUGAGACCUAAGGGAUUUUACAUUUUACACUCAGAAAAGUUUCAGCCUUGGAGCAGGUGUAGAGGAUUAGCAUCAGUUAGCAUCACCCCCUUUCUCUCCUCUCUCCCCGCUCCCCCCUCUCUAUUUACCCCCUCUUUCCCUCUCCCCCCUCUAUCUAUACCCUCCUCUCCCCCAUUUUCCUCCUCCCCGUGAUCUUCCACAUUUCCUUACCUGUCGUUGUUCACUAGCUCACUGAUGGUAGUCCUCUACACCUGUUCUGAGUCAAACAGAGACAUAAUUUUGGCCUUGACAGAGUGGCAUUUCCUGUUUAUAUCAUGAGAGCUUCCCAUUAUGGAAGCUGUCAUUAUAUAAUUUAUGUAGGGGAAGAAGUUUUGCUACAAAAUCAUUCAAGGGCAGCACAGCGGCUCAGUGGUUAACUCUGUGGCCUCACAAAAAAGAAGGUCCUGGUUUUGAAUUUAGACUCUGCUCUUUUGUGUGUGAUCUGCGUGGGUUUACUCCGGGUGCUCCGGUUUCCUCCCACAAUCCCAAAAUGCGCAGUAUGGGCUGACUGGACAUUCCAAAUUUCUCAUAGGCCUGAUUGUAAUUGGCAAAAAAUUUUAAUCAAAUGUAAAAAUACAAUCAAUUCAUGAAUCAAUAAAUGAAAAUGCAUUUUAAUCUGUGUCCUGACUUUUAAAUGAG